rnacentral:rRNA from 1 species
UACAGAGGUCCCAAGCGUUGUUCGUAUUCACUGGGCGUAAAGGGUGCGUAGUAGGUCGGGUAAGUUUGAUGUGAAAUCUCCGGGCUUAACCCGGAAAUGGCAUUGAAUACUAUUCGGCUGGAGGGUUGGAGGGGGGACUGGAAUUCUCGGUGUAGCAGUGAAAUGCGUAGAGAUCGAGAGGAACACCAGUGGCGAAGGCGAGUCCCUGGACAACUCCUGACACUAAGGCACGAAAGCUAGGGGAGCAAACAGU